GUCGAGCGGACUUUAGAAAAGCUUGCUUUUCUAAAGUUAGCGGCGGACGGGUGAGUAACACGUGGGCAACCUGCCCUAUAGUUGGGGAUAACUCCGGGAAACCGGGGCUAAUACCGAAUAAUACAUUCCUUCUCCUGUUGGAAUGUUGAAAGAUGGUUUACGCUAUCGCUAUAGGAUGGGCCCGCGGCGCAUUAGCUAGUUGGUGAGGUAACGGCUCACCAAGGCGACGAUGCGUAGCCGNCCUGAGAGGGUGAUCGGCCACACUGGGACUGAGACACGGCCCAGACUCCUACGGGAGGCAGCAGUAGGGAAUCUUCCACAAUGGGCGAAAGCCUGAUGGAGCAACGCNNNGUGAGUGAAGAAGGUUUUCGGAUCGUAAAACUCUGUUGUAAGGGANNNACAAGUACAGUNGUAACUGGCUGUACCUUGACGGUACCUUAUUNNAAAGCCACGGCUAACUACGUGCCAGCAGCCGCGGUAAUACGUNNNUGGCAAGCGUUGUCCGGAAUUAUUGGGCGUAAAGCGCGC
rnacentral:rRNA from 1 species